GACGAACGCUGGCGGCGUGCUUAACACAUGCAAGUCGAACGGAAAGGCCCUGCUUUUGUGGGGUGCUCGAGUGGCGAACGGGUGAGUAACACGUGAGUAACCUGCCCUUGACUUUGGGAUAACUUCAGGAAACUGGGGCUAAUACCGGAUAGGAGCUCCUGCUGCAUGGUGGGGGUUGGAAAGUUUCGGCGGUUGGGGAUGGACUCGCGGCUUAUCAGCUUGUUGGUGGGGUAGUGGCUUACCAAGGCUUUGACGGGUAGCCGGCCUGAGAGGGUGACCGGACACAUUGGGACUGAGAGACGGCCCAGACUCCUACGGGAGGCAGCAGUGGGGAAUAUUGCACAAUGGGCGGAAGCAUGAUGCAGCAACGCCGCGUGCGGGAUGACGGCCUUCGGGUUGUAAACCACUUUCGCCUGUGACGAAGCGUGAGUGACGGUAAUGGGUAAAGAAGCACCGGCUAACUACGUG
rnacentral:rRNA from 1 species